UUAAGCGACUAAGCGUACACGGUGGAUGCCCUGGCAGUCAGAGGCGAUGAAGGACGUGCUAAUCUGCGAUAAGCGUCGGUAAGGUGAUAUGAACCGUUAUAACCGGCGAUUUCCGAAUGGGGAAACCCAGUGUGAUUCGUCACACUAUCAUUAACUGAAUCCAUAGGUUAAUGAGGCGAACCGGGGGAACUGAAACAUCUAAGUACCCCGAGGAAAAGAAAUCAACCGAGAUUCCCCCAGUAGCGGCGAGCGAACGGGGAGCAGCCCAGAGCCUGAAUCAGUGUGUGUGUUAGUGGAAGCGUCUGGAAAGGCGUGCGAUACAGGGUGACAGCCCCGUACACAAAAAUGCACAUGCUGUGAGCUCGAUGAGUAGGGCGGGACACGUGGUAUCCUGUCUGAAUAUGGGGGGACCAUCCUCCAAGGCUAAAUACUCCUGACUGACCGAUAGUGAACCAGUACCGUGAGGGAAAGGCGAAAAGAACCCCGGCGAGGGGAGUGAAAAAGAACCUGAAACCGUGUACGUACAAGCAGUGGGAGCACAGAGCAAUCUGUGUGACUGCGUACCUUUUGUAUAAUGGGUCAGCGACUUAUAUUCUGUAGCAAGGUUAACCGAAUAGGGGAGCCGAAGGGAAACCGAGUCUUAACUGGGCGUUAAGUUGCAGGGUAUAGACCCGAAACCCGGUGAUCUAGCCAUGGGCAGGUUGAAGGUUGGGUAACACUAACUGGAGGACCGAACCGACUAAUGUUGAAAAAUUAGCGGAUGACUUGUGGCUGGGGGUGAAAGGCCAAUCAAACCGGGAGAUAGCUGGUUCUCCCCGAAAGCUAUUUAGGUAGCGCCUCGUGAAUUCAUCUCCGGGGGUAGAGCACUGUUUCGGCAAGGGGGUCAUCCCGACUUACCAACCCGAUGCAAACUGCGAAUACCGGAGAAUGUUAUCACGGGAGACACACGGCGGGUGCUAACGUCCGUCGUGAAGAGGGAAACAACCCAGACCGCCAGCUAAGGUCCCAAAGUCAUGGUUAAGUGGGAAACGAUGUGGGAAGGCCCAGACAGCCAGGAUGUUGGCUUAGAAGCAGCCAUCAUUUAAAGAAAGCGUAAUAGCUCACUGGUCGAGUCGGCCUGCGCGGAAGAUGUAACGGGGCUAAACCAUGCACCGAAGCUGCGGCAGCGACGCUUAUGCGUUGUUGGGUAGGGGAGCGUUCUGUAAGCCUGCGAAGGUGUGCUGUGAGGCAUGCUGGAGGUAUCAGAAGUGCGAAUGCUGACAUAAGUAACGAUAAAGCGGGUGAAAAGCCCGCUCGCCGGAAGACCAAGGGUUCCUGUCCAACGUUAAUCGGGGCAGGGUGAGUCGACCCCUAAGGCGAGGCCGAAAGGCGUAGUCGAUGGGAAACAGGUUAAUAUUCCUGUACUUGGUGUUACUGCGAAGGGGGGACGGAGAAGGCUAUGUUGGCCGGGCGACGGUUGUCCCGGUUUAAGCGUGUAGGCUGGUUUUCCAGGCAAAUCCGGAAAAUCAAGGCUGAGGCGUGAUGACGAGGCACUACGGUGCUGAAGCAACAAAUGCCCUGCUUCCAGGAAAAGCCUCUAAGCAUCAGGUAACAUCAAAUCGUACCCCAAACCGACACAGGUGGUCAGGUAGAGAAUACCAAGGCGCUUGAGAGAACUCGGGUGAAGGAACUAGGCAAAAUGGUGCCGUAACUUCGGGAGAAGGCACGCUGAUAUGUAGGUGAAGCGACUUGCUCGUGGAGCUGAAAUCAGUCGAAGAUACCAGCUGGCUGCAACUGUUUAUUAAAAACACAGCACUGUGCAAACACGAAAGUGGACGUAUACGGUGUGACGCCUGCCCGGUGCCGGAAGGUUAAUUGAUGGGGUCAGCGCAAGCGAAGCUCUUGAUCGAAGCCCCGGUAAACGGCGGCCGUAACUAUAACGGUCCUAAGGUAGCGAAAUUCCUUGUCGGGUAAGUUCCGACCUGCACGAAUGGCGUAAUGAUGGCCAGGCUGUCUCCACCCGAGACUCAGUGAAAUUGAACUCGCUGUGAAGAUGCAGUGUACCCGCGGCAAGACGGAAAGACCCCGUGAACCUUUACUAUAGCUUGACACUGAACAUUGAGCCUUGAUGUGUAGGAUAGGUGGGAGGCUUUGAAGUGUGGACGCCAGUCUGCAUGGAGCCGACCUUGAAAUACCACCCUUUAAUGUUUGAUGUUCUAACGUUGACCCGUAAUCCGGGUUGCGGACAGUGUCUGGUGGGUAGUUUGACUGGGGCGGUCUCCUCCUAAAGAGUAACGGAGGAGCACGAAGGUUGGCUAAUCCUGGUCGGACAUCAGGAGGUUAGUGCAAUGGCAUAAGCCAGCUUGACUGCGAGCGUGACGGCGCGAGCAGGUGCGAAAGCAGGUCAUAGUGAUCCGGUGGUUCUGAAUGGAAGGGCCAUCGCUCAACGGAUAAAAGGUACUCCGGGGAUAACAGGCUGAUACCGCCCAAGAGUUCAUAUCGACGGCGGUGUUUGGCACCUCGAUGUCGGCUCAUCACAUCCUGGGGCUGAAGUAGGUCCCAAGGGUAUGGCUGUUCGCCAUUUAAAGUGGUACGCGAGCUGGGUUUAGAACGUCGUGAGACAGUUCGGUCCCUAUCUGCCGUGGGCGCUGGAGAACUGAGGGGGGCUGCUCCUAGUACGAGAGGACCGGAGUGGACGCAUCACUGGUGUUCGGGUUGUCAUGCCAAUGGCACUGCCCGGUAGCUAAAUGCGGAAGAGAUAAGUGCUGAAAGCAUCUAAGCACGAAACUUGCCCCGAGAUGAGUUCUCCCUGACUCCUUGAGAGUCCUGAAGGAACGUUGAAGACGACGACGUUGAUAGGCCGGGUGUGUAAGCGCAGCGAUGCGUUGAGCUAACCGGUACUAAUGAACCGUGAGGCUUAACCUU
rnacentral:rRNA from 1 species